AUGGCGGCAGCGGCUGGAGAGGCCCCGCGGGCGCUAUCCCAGAAGGAGCAGGACAUACAGAUGACGCUUGCCGCCGACGUCCACCUCGGCACCAAGAACCGUGACUUCCAGAUGGAGCGCUACGCCUACAAGCGCCGCUCCGACGGCAUCUACAUCAUCAAUCUUGGCAUCAUGGCCAUCGAGAACCCCCAGGACAUCAUCGUCCAGUCCACUCGCCCCUACGGCCAGUGCGCUGUCCUCAAGUUUGCGCAACACACCGGUGCCAACGCCAUCGCCAGGAGGCACACCCCUGGUACCUUCACCAACCAGAUGCAGACCUCCUUCAGCAAGCCCCGCCUGCUCAUCCUCACUAACCCAAGCACCGACCACAAGUCUGCUCUAGGGAACAUCCGUACCAUUGCCUUCUGUGACACUGACUCUCCCAUGCGAUACGUCGAUAUCGGCAUCGCAGCAAACAACAAGGGGAGGAGCAGCAUUGGCUACCUCUACUGGCUCUUGGCCAGGAUGGUUCUAGUAGGCAAACAGUGGGCUUCCUUUCAAGUUAAAUUAACUAAUCAUCAUUUGGCUCAUCAAGUUUUUAUUUCUUUUGUGACAUUUCUACCCUCUUGUAACAUUACUUGGAGAGCUUGUAAAGUACUAUAG
rnacentral:rRNA from 1 species